rnacentral:rRNA from 1 species
GUAAGCGGCCAAUCGAAAGCAUUAAGUAUUCCUCCUGGGGAGUACGCCGGCAACGGUGAAACUCAAAGGGAAUUGACGGGGGCCCGCACAAGCGGAGGAACAUGUGGUUUAAUUCGAUGAUACGCGAGGAACCUUACCCGGGCUUAAAUUGCAUUUGAAUAAUCUGGAAACAGGUUAGCCGCAAGGCAAAUGUGAAGGUGCUGCAUGGUUGUCGUCAGCUCGUGCCGUGAGGUGUCGGCUUAAAUGCCAUAACGAGCGCAACCCUUAUCUUUAGUUACUAACAGGUCAUGCUGAGGACUCUAGAGAGACUGCCGUCGUAAGAUGUGAGGAAGGUGGGGAUGACGUCAAAUCAGCACGGCCCUUACGUCCGGGGCUACACACGUGUUACAAUGGGGGGUACAGAAGGCAGCUACCUGGUGACAGGAUGCUAAUCCCAAAAGCCUCUCUCAGUUCGGAUCGAAGUCUGCAACCCGACUUCGUGAAGCUGGAUUCGCUAGUAAUCGCGCAUCAGCCAUGGCGCGGUGAAUACGUUCCCGGGCCUUGUACACACCGCCCGUCAAGCCAUGAAAGCCGGGGGUACCUGAAGUACGUAACCGCAAGGAGCGUCCUAGGGUAAAACUGGUAAUUGGGGCUAAGU